rnacentral:lncRNA from 1 species
GUAAUUCUUCAUCACAUAUUAAUGUUUUUCUGUAGGCUUCUUAAGGGAACUUUCCUACAGGCAGGAGAGAGAAACAAAGAGGAAACCCUCCAUUAUACAGUGACAGGGCUGACAAGCCAGGGUUUGAAGGCAGACACUCAGCUCCCGACCCUGCAGCCCUAAGUGAUCAUGAACCAAACUUAUGCUGAGGACCCUGACAGAGGAAUGGAAAAAUACCUUAGUUGAGCAGCAACAGGUCUAGCUAAGACCUGAG